UCAAGUCACUUAACAUCUACUUGGAGAUUUACAUAGGAACAACCAAAACAUAGAAGAUAAUUAGGCCCUCAUUACAUGGGACGCUCUAUAAUUGCUUUGGCUGGCAGAGAAGCAUUGUGAAUGCCAAUGGCAUGGAGUGCAGCCAGAAAAGAACAAUUAGAAUGAUCUCUUUGAGUCUGGACAAGAAUGGAUGAAAAACUGCAUGCUGCUGUUGGCAGAAACCAGAGUGAGCAUAUUAGAGGUGAUACAUGUGCAAGUGGAAAGAGGAAUACAUUGAUUAAGUGAGGAUAACUGAAGCCACGCUACAAAGCCAUGCUACAUUCUGUGACAAUUAAAAUUCACUAGGGACGCAUGCAACAAAAAAUAAAGGAUUUCCUGUGGGUGCUUGA